GAAAAGGAAACAUGGGAAAAAAACUAAGACCAGGAUCUUUUCCAGAUGAGAAAAAUAAAUGAGGAUGCAAUAAUGGCUUCAACAGAAAAAGACCGAAGUUUCUGCAGACACCUGAGUUGUGUGAGCUCCUGGACCGUGGUAAAGCAGAAACUGAACCCACUGCUAUAAAUGCCACAAGGAGAAUUUCUGCAGAAACAUUGAGCUUGCUGGAAGAUAAAUGGAGCCUGUGACCCCAGGGAGCAGGGAGUGUGUCCCCAGGGAACAAGAACCUGUGUGCCCAGGGAACAGGAGCCUGUGUCCCAGAGAGCAGGGAGCCUGUGUUCCCAGGGAAAGAGGUUGUGUCCCCAGGGAACAAGAGCCUGUGUUCCCAGCAUUGUUAGUGAGGCUGUCAAGCCAUUUCAUCGUGCCAACGCAGAACCCCUGCCUUGUGCUCGCUCUGCACCAGGAGGGAAAGAGCUCUCCAACUUUGAACACUUCAAGACGACAUGAAGAAGAUGCAAACAAGUGUACUAAAAGGACAGAGCACACAUGCUGAAGAAACUCAGCCACUCAGUACACUUCAAAUGCACUUCAACUACUGAAACAGUAAAGGGCACUUAUUAAACAAACUCUUCCCCACAGAAAUAAGACAUGUGAACCAAUUAUUUAUACGACAUACUUUGUAUCUUUUAUCUCAACACCACAUAUGAAUUCCACUUCCUUGUCACCAGGAAUCGUCUGGACAGAGGUUGAUUCUAAUAUGAUCAGAGUAAGCAAUCAAAAUAAUCAAAGUAAUAAAUUUGUUAACAUCAACAUAACAGUCUUGUGAAUGGCCCAUAAAACAAAAAACUUUCAAAAUGAGAUUGAAGGUGUUAGGGGUCUUGAGCUGUUUGAAUAAUGAGUAAAGCUGUGUGCCUCCCUUUUUACUGGGAUUUUUAUCUUAUUUGUAAAGGAAAUAAACAACCUU